rnacentral:rRNA from 1 species
UACAGAGGUCUCAAGCGUUGUUCGGAUUCAUUGGGCGUAAAGGGUGCGUAGGCGGCGCGGUAAGUCGGGUGUGAAAUUUCGAGGCUUAACUUCGAAACUGCAUUCGAUACUGCCGUGCUAGAGGACUGGAGAGGAGACUGGAAUUUACGGUGUAGCGGUGAAAUGCGUAGAUAUCGUAAGGAAGACCAGUGGCGAAGGCGGGUCUCUGGACAGUUCCUGGACGGCUGAGGCACGAAGGCCCAGGGGAGCAAACGGG